GGAGCCCGGCGGACGCUGGGUCUGCAGAUGCCAUCCAGGCGCACGGCGGGUAUAGUGGUUCCGCAACCUUGGGAUGUUCGGCUGAGCGCCUGCCUAACAUGGGAGCGCCUGCCUAACCCUCCUGACUGGAGGGUCAGCGGCGGGGAGUCCUGGCCUUCAAUCGGCCAUCGCCACGGCAGAAACUGGGGCCCGGGCUGCGUCCAGGCCCUUCCCCGUCCGUCCACAGGUCUCAUGGGCGCCCGGACUGGGGCUGAUGUAGUUUCCCGACCUCUGACACAUAGGAUCUGGAGAUUAAAGCUGCUCUGCUAAUAAUUAGGUUCCCACCUCUCAAGAUCAUUAGGAGCUUCUUUUCCAAUUCCUCUGUUUUGCAUGCAUUGGAAGGAUCUGGAGCUCAGGACCCACUACCUCCCCGGCCCACUGCAAGCUUGAACAUUUGAUGGUGGACACCCCUCCCUGACUUUGUAUUAUGUGUCACUGGUGUGGGGGUUACCUUCCCACUAUGUCUCCCAGAAGACAUGAGGGCACAGACUACAGUGCCUGUGGACAGAGGAGCUGUGGGGAUGGAAGUGUGAUUGCUUCAUUCAAAUGCACGCCCCGGUGCGUGUGCGUCUCUUCUGAUGCAGCUCCCCAUGGAUUCACAGGCUGCUCCCCAGAAUACUGAAGAAGAAACUCUAGGAGUGAGACCCAACAAUCUGUGUUUAACAAGUCCCCAGGCCCCUGGAUCCUCCUGGAAUCCCUGAUCCCUGUUGCUCCCUGGCGGAGUUUUCUAGUCCCUCUUACUUGAAGCAUGUCUUUCAGAGCCCGGCACCACCCAAGUUGGGUAUCUGAUACCCCAUCAGCCUGAGUCUCUUAAAGGCCUUUAUACACAUAUGUCUACACAUAGGGAUUUGGAUGAUCUCGGGAUCCCACAUCCUCGCUGUCCCCUGUCCCCCCACAACAUCCCACACCAAUACCUUUCUGAAGUUUUCUAGUCCCUCCUUUUUGUUUGUGGUCCUUAAAGCCCAGCCCCAUGCCUGACUUUGGUUCCCAGUGAGCAUUGUACAUUUGUGGAUAUUAAAUCUUUGGCAAAGUCAUUU
rnacentral:lncRNA from 1 species